UACCACUGUAUUUGAGAAUGGCCACAUUAAGGUUGGUGAGGGAGUGUCACGGAUAAUAUUUCUCCUCUGCAUAUUUGUAGCCUCCCCAUUUUAAAGCUAUCUAAGCUUCAGACCAUCCCAGUAUCAUUUGGCAGCAGAUUCCUCAAGCUAACCUCACUUUACAUGCUGAAGGGCUUUUUUUUUUGGGGGGGGUGUUUACUCAUUUCUUGUGGCACUGACUUAAAACAGGACAUUCAUCUUUCUUUCUUUCUUUCUUUCUUUCUUUCUUUCUUUCUUUCUUUCUUUCUUUCUUUCUACUUUGAAUGAAACUCAGACUGCUGGUUAGAAUUGUGUUUUGUUUGUGUCUCUCCUGUGCCUGCCUUUCCUUAGAUGUAGGCUGAGAUAAAUGCCAUUAAACAUGACACUUGUUUUCUUCUAGACAACUGCUUUUGACAGAUUUCAUAGGGAUCUCUUAAUGAGUGUUUGUAACGCUGGCUUUUCAAAACAUUUUUUAACAGCCACAUUAGUAACAAUAAUGUAGAAUGAAUGCCUGCUAUUCUGACUAUUGAUUUCUACCAAUAUCUGUUGAUAGACGUGGAAGCAGACAGUCUGUAGUGUUGCACCUCCCCCCCCCAAUAAUUCUGAUUUUUACGGUUGUUAAAUACAGACCAGAUCUUUCCAAACUCUGUGUUGCGACACGUUAGUGUGUCAGCUGUGUAGGUGUGUCAUGUGAACUCUCCCCACUUUCUUCCCAGGCCUGGAAAGGGGUUAGUUUAACCUCCAGUUUGCUAGUAAAACUGAAUUACUGUGUCGUGAAAUGAUCUGUGUAUAAAAAGUGUGUCACGAGCAUGAAAAGUUUGGAAAGCUCUGAUAUAGACAAUUCAGCAUGUUCUUUCCGUUGAGAAUACUGUGAUUCAUCCCUAGGGAUGUAAGCAAGCAUAGUUUAUGUUGCAAUGCAGCUGUUUCCAUUCCCCUGCAGCUCACCUUCCACCAAAACUGACUUCAUUCGUCUUGCUGUCUGCUGCAGCAAAAUUUAUUGCAUAAAUCCUCAUGUUAUUCCACCCCUUUCAUUCAGUGCAAAUGAAGCACUGUGCAAUGUGGGGCGUGUGUAAUCAAUUGUCUUAACAUUUUUGAACUGAAAGGAACUAUCAUGAAUACUGAUUGUGUUCACUGGAUUGAUUUCCUUUUUUUAUAUUAAAUCUUUAUUGGUUUAAAAUACAAAGAGACAAACAUACAAACAUAUAACGAAAGUAAGUAUUUCAGAUUU